rnacentral:ncRNA from 2 species
GCCGCGAGCCGUGACUGGCGCGCUGGGAUGGGGUCAACCAUCGGGGAGCGGCUCGUUCGUACCGCUACCGAGUGCCGUGCGCCUGGGCCGUCCCG